UAGGUAUAAAAAUAAAACUUGAGUAGCAAGGUCUAAUCUUGUUUUAUAAGAGAUAAAUUAGAAAGGACAAUGCUAAAAACACACUUAUCAUUUAUUUUUUUGUUAGAAUUAGAAUACCAAAUGGUCACAGUCUGUCUGUUUCCUUUUGCUCUGCAAUUUUCAUGGAUCACCUUUCUCUUAGGCCUUCUCCAGAGAUGCAUGGAGAGCAUGACAUGAAGUCACCUGUGUAGCUGAAAUGCUAAGUCAUGGCUUGAACCAGUGAUUGAGCACCUGGUGGGAAGGCAGGGCCAACCCAGGGGAGCUCAGGUGCAUGCAAUGCCCCUGAGUGACCGGAAGGGGUGGAGCCUGGAUCCAACCCUUCCCAGACCUCAUUCAAGGGUUGGCAGCCAGGUAAUUGUAUCUUGCUGGAGGUCCCUGUCUACCUGAGGCCUUUCUAAGGUAAGCAGCUUCCUUCUUUUAUUUCUGUGCCCAUAGCUGUUGCAUUUGAGCAAGUUCUCGCUUGCUCCAGCCUAGGACCUUGUUCCUUUGCUGUCAUUGCUGUGCUUUCCAUCGCAUUACAUCUGGGAAAAGUGAAGGUGUAGUGGAAUGCAGGAAUCUCUGUCAUUGAGAUUCACUUGGCAGAUGAACGAUCACCAUUUGGGAAACUGUAUUAAAUCCUGUAUUUCAAGAGUCAGUAGGACUGGAAUCUGCUUUUCAGUUUGUCUGAUUUCUGCUGGGAUGCUGUCAAAGAGAAGGAAACUUCUUCAUAAAAUGUGGGGGAAUGUGUUCUCUGCACGAAAAAUCUCAAGACGGAGUAAUUGGCUAUCUUGGCGGUUAACCAGAUUCCAGGGUGAUCUUAACGAAUGGAUGUGA
rnacentral:lncRNA from 1 species